GCUCAGCUGGGAGAGCGCUUGCAUGGCAUGCAAGAGGUCAGCGGUUCGAUCCCGCUUAGCUCCACCA
rnacentral:tRNA from 3 species